CCUAUCCAUUUACCUUCCAAGACCACUCAUGGCCACUUGUUUCUAACUCUAUGGUUCAUUCAUCACCACAUGUUAUAACUCCACUUGCCUUGUAAUAUCUAGCUAUCAGUAGAAGUUAUCAGAGGGAAAAAAAGACUUGGAAAAUCUAAGGAGAACAUGGAAAGGAAAUAGAGAACUUGUGAGAAGAAGAAGAAGAAGAAGAAAAGCUUGGAGAAAUCAAGAGCUUGGAAUCACCAUCAUCAUCUUCAUAUCAUCAUCUCAUCCUCAACAACUUCUUCUCUUUCAUUCCUAUGGUAGUUCCGAUCAGGCGAAGGGUAAGGACAAGAUAGCGUGAUGUCCUUGCUUAUCUGAUGUUUUGGAUGGCUUUUUCGUUGUGUAGAUAAUGAUCUAGUUCCUAGUUUUAUUUCGGGCACCUUUGUGUAUACUUAGUGUCAUUUAGUGUUUUCUUUUGGGCAUGUAAUAUGUACACUGUUGCCUCUAGGUGCUUAUGUAUUUUAGUAUCAGUAUUACACAAUGUAUAAUAUGUAUUCUAGACAUAUAUUAUAUGUGGGUGUUACAGUU